UGCACACAGCGCAAUGUGCUGUGAGGCGGAAAAAUCUCUGCAGACACCCUUCUCCCCUCAGCUGCGCUACUCAGUAAGGAGACAGCGGGAGCAGCGGCGGACAGGGCAGUGACUUAUCACAAUCCGCGGUGCAGCUACAGCUCCGGAGGCCACGGGAGACUGCAGGAUGGCGGCCCAGUGAAGACCCCUGGAUGCAGGCGGUGAUGUGACACAAGAGAGAAGCCAGGCUGUCCGACACCAACUGGAUGUUGACUAAUCUUUGCCAUAAUUUUUUUUGUUUGUUUGUCAAAAAGUGUUGCUUAUUUACUUAUUUUUUUUAUGUGCUAACGAAAAAAAGUUUAACUUUGAAAAUUUUUGAAAAGUAAAGUUUUAUAAAACUAUAA